GUUAUAUCAGUCCAGAAUUGGGUUGCUAUUGCCAUCUGGAAGCUGGCUACCUCAGAUUGCUACAGGGGGACACAUAUGACCUGAGUCAACAUUAUCAGAGCUCUCCAGCUAUGCUCAUGAAAUCCUUUCAGGACAUGCUAUGGAUGUGAGGACAGCAUCUAGGGAAGUUCAAUGAAAAGGAAGAGAAAAAAAACAGAGACCAAUCAGGUGUCAAUCAGAUUCUCGGCAAGCAACUUAAAAGCUGGCUUAAGUGGACAUUUGAGGACACAUUCUUCCUCCCAGCCUCUAACAAAGAUGUAAUGGUUGAGAAAAAAACAGAUAUGGCUGUAGUGUUCCCACCUGCAGGGACAGCCUUUUCUAUAUCAUCCCUGAGACUGAUCUCAAUCAUUUUUUGUGACCUACCCAGCAACUGGAGGCCUGAUCAUCUGGGAGACUUUUGGUUGUUCCCCCCAGAUGAACUGAGCAACAAACAGCCAACCCUAACUGGCCAUGUGAUUCAGUCCAGUUGGC